rnacentral:rRNA from 1 species
GACGAACGCUGGCGGCGUGCUUAACACAUGCAAGUCGAACGGAAAGGCCCUGCUUGCAGGGUGCUCGAGUGGCGAACGGGUGAGUAACACGUGGGUGAUCUGCCCCUUACUUUGGGAUAAGCCUGGGAAACUGGGUCUAAUACUGGAUAGGACCAUGCUGUAGGUGGUGUGGUGGAAAGAUUAGUUUCGGUAAGGGAUGAGCUCGCGGCCUAUCAGCUUGUUGGUGGGGUAAUGGCCUGCCAAGGCGUCGACGGGUAGCCGGCCUGAGAGGGUGGACGGCCACAUUGGGACUGAGAUACGGCCCAGACUCCUACGGGAGGCAGCAGUGGGGAAUAUUGCACAAUGGGCGCAAGCCUGAUGCAGCGACGCCGCGUGGGGGAUGACGGCCUUCGGGUUGUAAACUCCUUUCAGCCAUGACGAAGCCCUUGUGGUGACGGUAGUGGUAGAAGAAGCACCGGCUAACUACGUG